rnacentral:rRNA from 1 species
AACGAACGCUGGCGGCAUGCCUAACACAUGCAAGUCGAACGAGACCUUCGGGUCUAGUGGCGCACGGGUGCGUAACGCGUGGGAACCUGCCCUUAGGUUCGGAAUAACUCCCCGAAAUGGGUGCUAAUACCGGAUAAUUUCUUCGGACCAAAGAUUUAUCGCCCUUGGAUGGGCCCGCGUUGGAUUAGCUAGUUGGUAGGGUAAAAGCCUACCACGGCGACGAUCCAUAGCUGGUCUGAGAGGAUGAUCAGCCACACUGGGACUGAGACACGGCCCAGAAUAAUACGGGAGGCAGGAGUGGGGAAUAUUGGAAAACGGGCGAAAGGCUGAACCAGCAAUGGCGGGUGAGUGAUGAAGGCGGGAGGGUUGUAAAGCUCGUUUAACCGGGAUGAUAAUGACAGUACCGGGAGAAUAAGCUCCGGCUAACUCCGUG